rnacentral:rRNA from 1 species
CCUACGGGAGGCAGCAGUGGGGAAUCUUCCACAAUGGGCGAAAGCCUGAUGGAGCAACGCCGCGUGGGUGAAGAAGGUCUUCGGAUCGUAAAACCCUGUUGUUAGAGAAGAAAGUGCGUGAGAGUAACUGUUCACGUUUCGACGGUAUCUAACCAGAAGGCCACGGCUAACUACGUGCCAGCAGCCGCGGUAAUACGUAGGUGGCAAGCGUUAUCCGGAUUUAUUGGGCGUAAAGGGAACGCAGGCGGUCUUUUAAGUCUGAUGUGAAAGCCUUCGGCUUAACCGGAGUAGUGCAUUGGAAACUGGGAGACUGGAGUGCAGAAGAGGAGAGUGGAACUCCAUGUGUAGCGGUGAAAUGCGUAGAUAUAUGGAAGAACACCAGUGGCGAAAGCGGCUCUCUGGUCUGUAACUGACGCUGAGGUUCGAAAGCGUGGGUAGCAAACAGGAUUAGAUACCCCUGUAGUC